UUCACGUGAUGUGUGUUAGAAGUGAGGUGUAGAAUGAUAAGACAGAAUGAUCACGAGUAUUUUAAUGAUUGAUCUUUGAGAGAUCGUCAAUGUUUGACUUUGAAUGAAACUGAAAGUUCUCGCUGAACGAAGAAUGGCACAGUUCCCAGAGGCCCCCGUCAUUGUUGCAAUAGGAGGAUGCGUCAGAGAUUUAAUGAGCUAUAGCGAAAGAUUUCCAAAGCCAGGUGAAACACUAAUAGGAACAAACUUUGUCAAAGGUUAUGGAGGAAAAGCAGCUAAUCAGUGUAUUAUGGCAUCAAGGCUUGGGACAUCUACAGCAAUGAUUGGAAAGGUUGGUGAUGAUGACUUUGGACAUCAGAGUAAAGAGAACUUCAAACAAAAUAAUGUGAAUGCAGAGUAUGUGGGGAUUACAAAGGAUGCUGCCACAAGUGUUGCACAAAUCACAGUUGUUAAAGAUGGACAAAACUCAAUUGUCUAUAUUCCGGGAGCUAAUGACUGUUUAACUGUGGAAGACAUAAGAAGUGCUGAGAAUGAUCUCAUAAAGAAAGUAAAGCUUAUGAUUUUGACCUAUGAAAGCAUAUCUGAGGUUAUCCUUGAAGCUUUGAAAAUAGCUAAGCAACAUGGUGUUCGGACUUUGGUAAAUGCUGCACCUGUUAAUCCUGGAGUCUCUGAAGAAAUAUACCCUCUUUGUGAUGUGUUGUGUGUCAAUGAAGUUGAGGCUGAGGUUGAAACAGGACUGUGUGUGGAAUCUAUAGAACAGGCUAAAUCUGCUACCCAGAUGUUGUUGAAGAGAGGCUGUUUCUCAGUAAUUCUAACAUUAGGUCCACGUGGAGCUGUUUUUGCUUCAGAAGAACAACCACAAGCCAUAUAUAUACCAGCUAAGCAGGUGACAGCUGUCGAUACAACUGGUGCAGGAGAUGCUUUCCUUGGAGCAUUGGCCUACUUUAUGACUCAACAUUCCAGUCUUACGAUGAAAGAAUGCAUUGAAAGAUCUUGUGAAGUGGCUGCCAUUAGUGUACAGAAUCUAGGAACGCAGAAGAGUUUCCCAUGGAGAAAAGACAUUCCAGCAGAGCUUUUUUCGUAAUUGCGAGGUUAAAUGCAAAAAGUGUUUAGUGAGAAGAAAAUAAUAUGCUAUACAUUUUUUGUAGUGGGUGUGUCUAAGCUUAUCACAUCAUGAAAAUAUUGUAGAACAGUCACAAUGGUGUAAAGAAUAGGAAACUUAAUUACAUUGAAAAUGAAUAAAACUAACUGUUAUACAAACCACAUCUGUACCUUAGUGAUGAGUAGUUUAGGAUAAUUACUUAUAAGAAAACACAGGUAUUUAAGUAAAAUAAAAGAUUCAAGAAUACGCUUUAAAAGCCCCAAACAAAUUAGCACAGCAUUUCACUGUAAAAUCUGGUUACUUUCCAAGUUGUCAUAAUUUUGGAAAAAUAAGAUUAUUUUCUUCUGUUAAAUUAUUCACUUGUGACUAAAAAUUAUAGUGCCUUGAGAAUGUUUAAAUAAAAGAAUUUAUACAUUUCUGUUUUUCAGUGCAAAGUCUUAUAUCAUGUAUGGUUAUAGAACUGUAUGCUUUAAGUUUGUUUUAUUAAUUUUUCUUUUCUCAACAACAAUAAAAUUUUGUCUGAAACAAAACAAACAAAAAAAAACCUAGGUUUAUAAUGUGGUAUCAUAAGUACAAUAUAAACAUAGAAACAUUUGAUUUCAUUAUAGACAUGUCAGCCAAAAUGGAUAAUUACUUUUGGAUUAUAGGCUACGUACUUUAAUUCUUUACUCAAACCUCGCCAAGCAUGCAAACACUGUCUUGGCUUGUUUUAAUGACACUGAACUUAGUAGGGUCCCUAGCUAAGCAUGCAAACACUGUAUUAGCUUGUUGUAAUGACAAUGAUCUUAGUAUGGUUGGAAUUAAUCACUUUUGUUACUGUAUCUUUGUAACUUUUUAUAGUGAAGAAAUAGUUUAGUAUUGGUUUUAUUGUAACAAAGUGACAAGUUUUUAGUCAAUUCAUUAAACUUUUAUUUGUUGUCCAAGGAUGAAUUUAGUAGUACAUUUUAUAUUUUUAGCAGACAAUGAAAAAUGUUUUUUUGAACUCGUUUCAGUUAAUUCCAGGAAUCCUUGUUAUGAUCACAAAGUAAGAUUGGAUAACCUGACAAAAGGGUGUGGGUUGGCUCCAAAUUUCUUAGCUUGCAAGCUGGUUUCAAAUCCAUGGGAGAUAACAUUAAAUAUUCUCCACACUUAAAGUUAUUGGGUGCAGUCAUUCUCUUAACGUAGAUGUUGGGGGUAGUAAGUGCUGCUUAGUGGCUGCCUUCCCUCUGGUCAGUUGUUCAAAAUUAGGUAGUGAAGCAGAUAGCUUUGGUAGCAUUGUCACAGAUACAAAAUACAACCCUACAAAUCUAAGGAUAUUGAUGAAUUAUAUUUCUGUAAGUUAGGUGUGCAUUAUAUAUGAUUCAAGUAAGUAAUCUAGCAUUUAAAAAAGAUGUAGCAUGAUAUGUUAUGAGCAGAAACGAAACAUCAGUUGUUUUAAAGUUCAAAUUUUGUUUCUUCUUAUAAACCGAAAUGGUGGAGAGUAAUAGACAUGUCCAAACUCAUAUGAGUUAUUGAUUUAAAUAACAUGGAAAAAAUUGAUCAUCAUUACUAAAUUGUACAAACAUAAAUUUGCAUUGUUUAUGGAUACUUAGUAUCUGAUACUAAUUUUGUCUGAGCAGUAAUUUUGUUACCAUAAUUUAAACUUGCAUUUGAGGUAUAUUUCAGAUUGAAAAUUAAAAAUGUUUCCAUAUUUUGAUUUUUGCUACAGUUAUUUGCUAUCCAGAUAAGUGUUUUUAAAAUUACAAAAAUAUUAAUGUCCAAUAUAAUUAAAAUGUAUGGAAUUGUUUCACUUGUACAAUUUGUUCUGAGACAUUCUAAUAGUUCUGUAUUAAUUAUUCCCAAAUUGUGUUUUGUAUGUUUAUUUGUUUGUAGUUGAGCACAAAGCUGCACAAUAGGCUAUCUGUGCUCUGCCCUCCAUGGAUAUCAAAACCCGGUUUCUAGUGAUAUAAGUCUGCAGACGUACUGCUGUGCUAGUGGGGUGCUUGCCUUGUGAGAGCAGCAGAACUUCCUUUAUAUUGCUUUAAAAAGUUCCAUGAAGAUGAGGAGAGGACUUCCUGGUUCCAGUGGUUCUGCUAGUGAUGAUCCUUCUGCUUUCAGCAUCUCUCUUCAAUCUUAGACAGAUUCAAUCUGCAUGCACAAGUUAAGGAGGCAUACAGAAAGCUUCUCAAAACAGCUUGCUGUGGAUGGACAGCUUUUGUCAGCAUUCAAAACUUUAAUUAAAGUGCAAAAACAAAAUGGGGUACAACUAAUUUCAAAUUUUGAUAAUGCCAGUAGAGUGAAAGAAUUUAUUAAUGUUACUGCAGAAGCUAGUCGUGAGAAAGUAGCAGUGAUUUUAUGUUCAUCAGUAGCUUUUGCAGUGCUUAAUGAUAGAAGUCAGGCAAGAAAAACUGGCUCUGAAAAAGCACUGAUUUUCAUUAGAACAGUCAGACAAGGUAUACCAGUUUAUUUCUGUGUUCCCUAAUAGGACAUUGAUAGCUUUGAUGAUGUAGAUGCAAGUAAUCUGAAAAGGAGCAUUGAUGAUGUAUUCAAAGGUGAUGCAAAGGUUUCAAUCCCAACAGAAACAUACUCUUACCUGUUAGUUUCAGCUACAGUUAAUGGAACUUGUGUUAAUAUUAGAGUUUACAAUGGAUUGCUAACAAAACUUUGGUUUCUAGGCAUUUCCCAUAGAGUUGAAUUGGUAUUUAAAGAUAGUGUAUCUACAUCAUUUGCUGAUGUGAAAGACUUCAUGACAGCUAUAUAUAUUACUUAAUCAAAUGAUCUGGAAAGUUCAAAAGGCAUUUUGAGACAACUGCCAGUGCAUUUGGUGUGCAGCAUUUUAAUUUUCCCAAAGUACAUGUUACACAUAAGACGUGGAGUAAAUCAUUUACUGAGUAAUUGGGUAAUUGUUGCUUGAGUAAUAGAAAAGUCCCUUGCCAGUUGAAAGGAGAGAGUAGCACUGGCGAAAUUUCAUGGACUUUUAAACAAAAAUGAAGUAUUUUAAUUUUUUGUCAAAAUGUUUCUUGUACAAAGAUGUGCUGGAUGCAUGUUCUAUUUUCUCUAUGCAGUUUGAAAGAAAACAUUUUAUGAUGUCAGAUACUGCCUAUGGUAGAAAAAUGAAAAGAUACUUUACAGGAUCUCAAGGAAGAAACUUCAGGUACAUGCUUUGAAAAUCUUUUGAAAAAGUUUAAACUUGAAUUGGAAAUGAAAUCAGGUUCCAGGUAUCUUACGACACUUUACUUAAAGCAGAGCCUUACCCACAUACUCGCUGAUCAAAGGCUUAGUUUAAAACAUGCAACAGUGGAGAACCUUUCUAUUGAUUAAAACAAAUGGUUUUGUAUGGGUAUAUGAGGAAAAGGAACAAAUAUUAGAAACAACCUUGGAGAAGUUUAUGGCAAAAAAGGAGGAAAUGGAACUUUGAUACAAAUCCUUCUAACAUGUCUGUAAAAUGUGCAGCCAAAAAAAUAGAAGUCAGACACUUAGAGUGAAAUUGAUUCUGUUGAUGAUGAAGAUUUACGUGAUUAUGGAGAUCAUGAUGAGGACGAUGAAGAUUCUAGCAUGUCUAGUAGAUCAUUUGAUGGGGCUGAAACAGAUGAGAUUAUUUUUCAAGAACUGAUUGUACAGGAAUCAUUU